GCACUUCAUCAAACAUUGUCCUGUCCUCUGCCCUCUUAAGCUUUCUAUGGAAAUCACUGAGAAUGAAGCAGCCCUGAGUUCUGUCUCUUGGUAACACAAAAAUAUCACAGAGAACAUGGAAUGUAACUGACUUUUCUAUGAAGGGAGACACUUUCCUUCCAACUAAGUGUCAAUAUGGAGCCAAGCCAGUUCUGUAUUGCCCUUCCACACCUGCAGUAUUUAUGGGCAAAAAUCAUUUCCCCUUUUAUUUUGUGGCAGGAGUUAUCUCCCCCAGGAAUGUGAUCUUUGUACGGUUUUAAUCUGGGGACUUAUGGUCAAAGGUUCUAUAGCAGACCUUUGACCUCUUCUUGAUUUGGGAUUUAUUAUUGCAGCAUCAAAGCAAAAUGCUGAUCACCAAAUCAAAAGAAAAGAAAAAAAGGAAGCAGGUAGGACGAUCUGACAACACACUGAAGUAGAUAAAAAGAAAAACAUCUUGCAUGACCAAGGGAAAGCACAAAAAUGGUUGUUCACCUUUACAUACUAUUCCAAGGGCAAAAGGCUCAUGUCAACCAUUUGAGCUCCAUUCAUACUGGCAAUUUCCCCCAUUGAAAAUAUGGGGUUUCAAUGUCCACUUUAAAAAAGAGAGAGAGAAAGGGAGAUUUGUUGUUGCUGAGGAAGAGCAUUUAAAAUGAAUCAAACAUGAUUUCCCUCAAAAUUCUUGACAAAAUGGAUGCUUCUUCUUUCUUCUUUGGCGAUCACUCAUAGCCGAGUAAGAUUGCCUUCCAUGAACACUGUCUUAACAGUGAGUCCGUAAGUGACUGUGGAGGCCAAUUCUGGAUCCACACGUCCUUCCACAGUGGGGACAUAGGUUUCCGGGAGGGAGUUGAUCACAGUGAGGGUUUGCCAAGCAUUCCUUCCUCUUAGCACAUUUCUCCCUUUCGUGCUGAGUUCAAGCAUCUUCAAAGUCCACGGCACCUUUGAUAAAGGCUGUUGUCCAAUUGGAGCACUCGCAGGCCAGUGUUUCCCAAUUGUUGGUGUUUAUACUACAUUUUUUAAGAUUUGCAUUGAAAGAGUUUUUAAACCUCUUUUGUUGAACACCAGCAUUAUGAUUUCCAUUUUUGAGUUUGGAAUAGAAUAGUUGCUUUCGAAGACGAUAACCAGGCAUCUGCACAGCAUGACCAGUCCAACGAAGUUGAUGUUGAAGAAUCAUUGCUUCGACACUGUACACUGUCAUUAGUUCAUCUGUCUUCCCAAGUAAUAUGUAAAAAUUUUCGGAGACACCAUUGAUGGGAUCUUUCCAGGAGUUGGAGAUGGUGUUUGUAAGUGGUCCAGGUUUCACAAGCAUAUAGUAAGGUUGGUAGUACAAUGGCUUUGGAAACAAGCAUUCUGGUUUUAUUGCAAAUGUCCUGGUCCUCAGACACUUGGCACUCAGAAUCCGGAAUGGAGGAAAGUUGCUUAUUAGCAUUAUGUCAACUUCCCCACUACUCAUGGAUACGUUUCUGUUGAGGGUUGGUAUCUACAGGUUCAACAGAAAGUGCUUCAUACUGAGUCAGACGACUGGUCCAUCUAGCUUAGUAUUGUCUACACUGAUUGGUAGCAGCUCUGCAGCGUUUCAGGCAGGGUUACAUUCCCAGCAUACCCUGGAGAUGCUGAGGAUUGAACCUGGGACCUUAUGAAUGCAGAGCAGAUGCUCUGCCACUGACUAGUUUAAUAAUACAUCAAGUAGCUUAAUAGUCAUUCCACUGAGAGAACUCUGGAAAUUGUAUUUUGUCAGAGAGGCCACAGAUCCAGAAGACCUACCCCAGGAUUUUGUAGGAAGCCAUACCUAUUAGGCCAGAUAAAACAGUCACAAAUUUGACAUGCAGUAUUCCCAUAUGUCAGUGGGGACUAAUAUGUUGCCCCCUAGGUAUUUGUACUCCAGCUCCUGACCACUACCCAUUCUGACCACUGCCCAUUGUGGCUGGGGCUAACGGGAGUUGGCAUUCGACAACAUCUGGAGGGCAGCAGGUUCCCCAGUUUUGCCCUAUGUAAACAGCAUCCGGUCGCUUGAUUGGUCCACAACUGAACAGAUGUUCUUCCAUGUGGACCUCCCUCACUAAUUCUAUUUGUGGAGAACUUUGAAUUUCCUGCAUUUGUAAAUGGAAGGAAUGAGCCACAUCCAUUGGAUUGUAUAUUUGAGUUUUCCUUUUUAAAAGAACACUCUGUUCCAGAGCACAAGUAAUGCAGCAGGGAUGUGAAAGCCAUUCUUAGUGUCCUGUCUAAAAAAUGCUCUUCCUCUCGUGUUCAUUCUAUACCAGGGAUAGGGAACCGGUGGCUUCAUGGUUGCUGUUUGUCUUCAACUCUCAUCACCCCCUAGCCAGCAUGGCCAGUGGUCAGGGAGUUGUUCACUGACAAUAUCUGUAAGGUCACAUUCUCCUCACCUGUGUCUGAGGGGAUGUUAGGAGCCAUAUUCUAGGUGUUUCCCCCCAAACAUUUGAGCCUACUAUGCCAAAAAUGAAUUCAUUGUUUGCCAAAUAUUCAUCUAAAGCAGCGGUUCUCAACCUGUGGGUCCCCAGAUGAGUCCCCUGAGCUUGCUAGCUAGGAGUGAUGGGGGUUGUAGUUCAACAACAUCUGGGGACCCAUAGGUUGAGAAAAGCUGAUCUAAAGGGUUAUCAGAGGACACCAUCUAGCACAUAGUAACUUCCUAUGGCAUGGGCUUGAUACACUGACAGUUUUAACAGUAUACCAAAUGGUGAGGAGGCUUUUUGCGUGUGUGUGCAUGAAUGUGCAGGCACACACACGCCCCCAACACAUAUCAUGCAGUUUUCUGAUCUGGCACAGAAAAGUCUCAUUGCCACUACUUCUGAUGAUACAGCUAAAUUCCCCUCUUUAUCCUGAAGCAUAGAGAAUGUGAGUACCAUAACUAAGGUCUAAAGUAUAUAUAAGGUUAAAGAUAUCCUUUGUUAUGUAUUCAGCAGCCGCUGUGGGUCUAUGGGGAAGGGGAGUUUAAAUCUUUCUCUCCCUGCACCAUCUCCCACAAAAACCUGCCCUCUGUAACUGCUAGUUGCUUUACAAGGUGCCAAUGGAGACUUGCCUUGAAACGCAAGCAGCAGCUUCAGAGACAUGGUUUUCAUCAGAAUUGUGGGAAGGAUAGAAAGAUAUUCCCCUGAAGUGUCAGUGUUUCCCAGGCAUUGCAAUGGCUGCUACUUACAUAAAAAAACAAACCCAUGCAUGCUAGUUACAUUUGCGACACUGACACCAUGUUUAAUUUGAGGCUAAGAAUCUUGCUUUGCUUACAUUUCUGAGAUAUAUAUUGUUUCUAAAAACUUGAACUCACUGAAACAGAUCCAAUUGUACACUUUGUUGAAAUGUUUUAAGCAGCUUAUACUUAGGAUGCUGGAGGCAUCCUAAAUACUGGAAUUGAUAACCCCUAGCAAAGUCCUUAAGUUAUAAGCAGGCCCUCCCCUCCAGAUGUGGCUGCACAACAGCUCCCAUCACCACUGGCCAUGCUUGCCGGGGCUGAUGGGAGUUGUAGUUCAACAGCAUCUGGAAGGCCACAGGUUCCCCAUACCAGGCUUCUAGUAUUAUAUCCAAUGCUAGUCCUACAUAGAGUAGAUCCAUUGAAGUUAAUGGGCAUGACUAAUUUAGGUUUAUUAAUUUCUAUAGCUCUACUCUACUUGAGUAGAAAUUAGUUUGGUGUACAACCCAUGGUUAGAGAUGGAAAACUUGUAAAAUGAGGACGCAGGGCAAAUAAAGUGUCCCUUUAUGUAUUUCCAAAAAAGAGGAAUCACACACACCUCAAAAGGAUAAAAAAAGGAUACAUAUUUGCAUAGUAUUUGUAUAUGCAUAAUUUAUAUGCAUAAAUCAAAUUUAGAAACAAGGGCUAUAAUUUAAAUGGAAAUGUGGUACCUCUCGCCCUAGCAGGGGAAACUGUGACCAGGUGAUCUGUGUGCUUGCUUGGUCAGCUGUCUAGGUGUUCAUUGUUGAUGGGCCCCUGAUGCUCUCCCAUCUGAUGGCACUUCAUCUCAGAUUUAGACAGAGAAUCCCUCCAAAUAAAGGAAACCUUUAAAUAUGAUGAUGAUGAUGAUGAUUGAUUAAAUCUUUAUACUGCUCUUCAUCUGAAGUUCUCAGGGUGGCUCACAGCAUAGAAAGACAAAAUAUAUAAUAAAAGCAAGAACAAAAAUAAAGCAAACAAACACAUCCCACAAACACAUU